GACGAACGCUGGCGGCGUGCUUAACACAUGCAAGUCGAGCGGUAAGGCCCUUUCGGGGGUACACGAGCGGCGAACGGGUGAGUAACACGUGGGUGACCUGCCCUCAGCUCUGGGAUAAGCCUGGGAAACCGGGUCUAAUACUGGAUAUGACUCCAUGACGCAUGUUGUGGGGUGGAAAGCCUUGUGCGGCUGAGGAUGGGCCCGCGGCCUAUCAGCUUGUUGGUGGGAUGAUGGCCUACCAAGGCGACGACGGGUAGCCGGCCUGAGAGGGCGACCGGCCACACUGGGACUGAGACACGGCCCAGACUCCUACGGGAGGCAGCAGUGGGGAAUCUUGCGCAAUGGGCGAAAGCCUGACGCAGCGACGCCGCGUGAGGGAUGACGGCCUGG
rnacentral:rRNA from 1 species